CGUCGUGCCCUAGCCAUCCUCACUCCCCGAUCUCUUCCUUUUCCCCCGAAACUCGAUCGCCUUCCCCCAAUCUGACGCAUACAAAAUCAGUGCCCAAGGAGAAGCCGGGCACUACUAUUCCCGAUUCCCUUCUCCCCCGACUCCUCUCCACCUUCCUCGCGUCUUCCUUGCCACUGACAACCACAGCCCGAGCGAAAAUGCUCUAGGUGUCACCCUCUCCCAUUGCAUCGCUUCAUCGUCGCACGGAGCAGCGCCGGCGCCCCUACAACCGAUGCCUCUCUUCUUAUCACCUCCGCUCGUGCCCUUUCUCUCAUGCCGACACUGCUAUUCCGGUCAUUCUUCUCUCUCACAAUUUUCCUAGUGUUGCCGCAACUGUUCGCGUGAGGACCAAAUCGGAGCAGUGGUUGAAGGCUCAUCAGCGAGAAAACCCUAGCGAUAUGUCCACUGCCUUCUCCUUUUCCAUUGGAUCUCAAUUCUUUUUCUUCGUCGACACAGAUCAGCUGUCGUUCUUUCAACCACCUUCUACUUGGUCUCCGACAAAGGGAAAACUGUCAGCAUAGAUUGGGAUCUGGCUAUGGUAUUCCGGCAGUAACAUCUCCUAGGACCAGCUACUCUGUUCUAGCAGCAAGUUGUCUCCGGCUGUGGAUCACUUGCAAAGGUUUCAGAUUUGGAUCUGCCAUCGUUGGUCGCCUGGCUGCCGGAAGGCAGUCGUCGUCGGAGUUAAAUCUAUUGGCACAGAUUGGAGGUUGAAGCUAUCAGGAGAUUCCAGUCACUAGUCCCCCACCUCGUGUAGAUAUGGUUUUCUACUUUCAGACUUUGUUUCCUUGUUUUGUGAUCUACAUGCGUGUGAUGUGUAGAUCUCGUACUCGUGGAUGUUAUAUCGAGUUUUGGUCUACUACCCUUGUUUUC